rnacentral:pre_miRNA from 3 species
UCUCAUGGAUGAGCAAAGAAAGUGAUUUCUUGAGAUCGAAUCUGCUCCUGGUGAAGAUGCUGUGAA